GGAGGGUUGCGCCGAACGGUAAGGCACUGGUUUCGAAAACCAGCGGGAGUAAUCCCUUAGAGGUUCGAGUCCUCUACCCUCCG
rnacentral:tRNA from 2 species